UGAAUAUGAUUAUAAACUAGGAUAUGAUAUAAAUACCAUCAAAACAAAUUAAGUUCAAAGCACACUGCACAAUAGGAUCUGCCCAUUUAUUGAUUCAUGAGUACAUCUUACGUACUGCCCGGAACAAAGAGCCAAAGAAUGCUGAUUUGAUUUCUGCCAUAUCUCAACAAAUUGCAGCCACAGCUUAUAUAUAUGUUUUCCCCUUGAAUAUCGGUUUCCCUUCACCACUCACCACUUCAAAAUCACAUUCUUCCUUCCCCACAAAUCACAACCGAGAGAAAAAGAGGGGUAGAUAAUCUCCGGCGACGCUGAGGAGAAACGCCGGCGGUGCAAGGGCGCCGCUGACCGGAGUGACGUGCCGACGCGGGAGAGAAGAGGAGCAACGGAUUUCCGAUUAGGGAUUUGAUCUUCCCCAAAUUGGGAAUUUUGAGAAGUGAUUUGGGGGAAAGGAGUCGGCCGAUAGUGUUGGGGAGGACGUCUUCGCAAGUCGAGUAAGACCAAGUCAAGGAAAUUUUCGACUAAGGAAUUAAGCUUUUGAGGUUGAACGUGGACGAGGGGCGAAUGUGUUGAACAAUGGUGAUAAUAAGUAGUACUAGGAUACCCAAAAAAGAAUUGUGUCUUCACACAUACUUCUUUGUCUUGGACUCUUCCGCUGCACUAGUAGUUUUGCACUAGGAUUUCAUAAACCUAGUUAUCGUACUCUGAUUUUGAUUGGCCAUGUACCACUUUCACACUUGAAACUUAUGUUUGAA